rnacentral:rRNA from 1 species
UGAGGAACAUGACCUUCGGCGGGGGGAUAGCCGGCCCAACGGCCGGGUAAUACCGCGUACGACCACUUUGGGACAUCCCUCGGUGGUGAAAGCAGCAAUGCGCCGAUGGAGUGCCUCGCGGCCUAUCAGCUAGUUGGUGAGGUAACGGCUCACCAAGGCGACGACGGGUAGCCGGCCUGAGAGGGCGAUCGGCCACACUGGGACUGAGACACGGCCAGACUCCGUACGGGGAGGCAG